rnacentral:lncRNA from 1 species
GGGGAUACCAUGGCAACCAGAAAUAAAACCCAGUGGCUAUAGACAGCUACUUCGGUAGGGGUGAAGUCUAUAAAGGUUCCUUAAAGCCACAAGUCAUCGAUGGCAUCGAACCAGUCCUGAAUGGAGGAGAUUGUUGGUAUCAGGCACUGGUCUUGUAACAGAGAUUCUAGGAAGUAUUGGAAGCGUUGCCUUGACAUGGUGUCACCAGCACCUGAAGAAAAUCAGAGCGAACAAAAACAGGAUGAAGAUAAAAAUUAAUGCAAAGGUCAGUUUUUGGCAGGAGUUCCAUGUUGGGGGACUGACAGAGAAGAGGCCGAGGGCCAUGAGAAGGCUUAAAAGGACAUAAAGGCUCAAAAAUCCAGAAUGGCAGGCUAAGAGGUCCUCCGGGCUCAUUGUCUCCUGCUGUCCAUGUCCGUUGCAUUCCAUCGUGCCUGGUAGUAAGCUUCAGCACUGAGUGAGCUGUUCUCUUAAAGAUGUUGGGGGUUCAUCGGUCAUCAGAGGCUGGUAGUGCCUAAGCAGAAGCUGGUUGAAAGUUUGAUUAGAAAUUUUCUGGAAUUGUGUUUGAAGGAACUUCAUUAUGCAGGGCAAGAGAGAGCAAAAAAGGAGCAUCCCAAUAAGGGGCCCCAAGAAAUGUAGCAAGUAUGUGGCGAGAGAGGAUUGGAAGAACCCCGUUAUGGGAUUAGGGGAGGUGGGUUUGAGCAAUUGGGUCGAUAAUUCCUGCAAUUUAACAACAUUCUUUUCUAUUAGCCCAGACUCAUUAACAUAGUAGCAACAUUCCUCUCUGAGGAACAGGCAUGUACCCCCUUUUUCUGCAGUGAGGAGAUCAAUCACCCUUCGGUUCUGU